AUAUAUAUGUAGGCCUAUAUAUAUUCUGAGUUAAUAGCUAACUUCAUUUUCAGUGACGUAAACAAUCUCACAACUUAGUGUGAUUUAAAAUGAAAAGGAAAUUAACUAAAAAAUUCUCCACAUUACACAAUCGAAAAAGAAUACAGACCAGUUUAGUUCAAAUCAUUGGGAGAUUGUUUCUAUACUUUAAUACGGUGUCCCUGUCGGUGGUUUCCUCAAUAAAUAACUUCUAGAACGUAUUGAGACAGUACUGCGAAGGUCUACAAAAUUUAUUCGUAAACAGAACUCUAACUUUAUUCUUUAUUCUCUUACUCAGUCACUUAGAUUCGAAUGAAAUAUCUUUCCUUGGAAGUGGACCUGUUCUGAAAUACACACCAUACACUAUUGUCAUGUCUGACAAUAAAAUCGAAAGUAUUUCAAGAGAUAAUUUCCGAGGUCUGAAAAAUCUGCACAUGAUUUUGCUUUUUAGAAACAACAUUUCGUAUAUUGCGGACGAAGCAUUUUACGAGACCAAUUUAAAAGUAAUGUUAGUAAUUUAUAAUUACAUUUCUAAACUAAAUUGUAUAUAAAACUAUUAAUUUGCCAUUAAACUUAACUUCAUGCCGUAUACAAACCCAAAGUAUAACGUUCAAAAAUAUAUAUAAGAUAUAUAUAUAUAUAUAUAUAUAAUAUUAUAUACUUUUCGUUUAAAAAAUUUGUUUCAUAUUUUUUAGCACAUCACUAUCUUUUACUUAAGGCCUUUCUUCUGCCUCUGCCAUAUUUUUUCAUACUUUUACGAUGCGUUGAUUGAAAUUUUGAAUGUAUAUUAUCUGAACAUUCCAAAAUGUUGAUAUUCCAACAGUGGCAAUACAGUGGAAUAUAUACAUAUAAAUGCACUGAAA